rnacentral:rRNA from 1 species
AGAGUUUGAUCCUGGCUCAGGGAUGAACGCUGGCGGCGUGCUUAAUACAUGCAAGUCGAACGAAGUAAAUUUUGGAUAAGUUUACUUAACUAAAUGACUUAGUGGCGAACGGGUGAGUAAUACAUAAAUAACUUGCCCCGAUGUCUGGAAUAACAGUUGGAAACGAUUGCUAAUGCCGGAUAUGAUAUUUGGAAGCAUUUCCUAAUAUUGAAAGAUGGGAUACAUCGCAACGGGAUGGAUUUAUGGCGCAUUAGUUAGUUGGUGAGGUAACGGCUCACCAAGACGAUGAUGCGUAGCCGGCCUGAGAGGGUGACCGGCCACACUGGGACUGAGACACGGCCCAGACUCCUACGGGAGGCAGCAGUAGGGAAUUUUCGGCAAUGGGGGCAACCCUGACCGAGCGACGCCGCGUGAGUGAAGAAGGCCUUCGGGUUGUAAAGCUCUGUUGUAAGGGAAGAACUGUACGGAUAGGGAAUGAUCUGUACUUGACGGUACCUUACCAGCAAGCCACGGCUAACUACGUGCCAGCAGCCGCGGUAAUACGUAGGUGGCAAGCGUUAUCCGGAAUUAUUGGGCGUAAAGGGAGCGCAGGCGGCUUAUUAAGUCUAAGGUUAAAGUUCGGGGCUCAACCCCGUGAUGCCUUAGAAACUGGUAGGCUAGAGUGCAGGAGAGGUGAGUGGAAUUCCAUGUGUAGCGGUAAAAUGCGUAGAUAUAUGGAGGAACACCAGUGGCGAAGGCGGCUCACUGGCCUGUAACUGACGCUGAGGCUCGAAAGCGUGGGGAGCAAAUAGGAUUAGAUACCCUAGUAGUCCACGCCGUAAACGAUGGAUACUAAGUGUUGGGAUAGAAUCUCAGUGCUGUAGUUAACGCAAUA